rnacentral:tRNA from 1 species
UAGCUCAGCGGUAGAGCACGAAAAAAAUGCUUUCCGCCCUAUUACUCGGAUUUUUUUGAUUUUGAAUCGAGUUGCCUGGAGAAGUUUCAACAUGGGAAGCGUAUGUCGUUGGUUCAAAUCCAACUUCCC